rnacentral:rRNA from 1 species
UUACNGAACNCCGGCGGCAGGUCNCAACACNNGCNAGUNCGAGCGGUAACAUUUCUAGCUUGCUAGAAGAUGACAGAGCGGCGGAACGGGUGAGUAAUGCUUGGGGAUCUGCCCAGUACGAGGGGGAUAACAGUUGGAAACGACUGCUAAUACCGCAUACGCCCUACGGGGGAAAGCAGGGGACUUUUUAAGCCUUGCGCGAUUGGAUGAACCCAAGUNGGAUUAGCUAGUAGGUAAGGUAAAGGCUUACCUAGGCGACGAUCCCUAGCUGGUCUGAGAGGAUGAUCAGCCACACUGGAACUGAGACACGGUCCAGACUCCUACGGGAGGCAGCAGUGGGGAAUAUUGCACAAUGGGGGGAACCCUGAUGCAGCCAUGCCGCGUGUGUGAAGAAGGCCUUCGGGUUGUAAAGCACUUUCAGCGAGGAGGAAAGGGUGAUGGUUAAUACCCAUCAUCUGUGACGUUACUCGCAGAAGAAGCACCGGCUAACUUCGNGCCAGCAGCCGCGGUAAUACGAGGGGUGGCAAAGCGUUAAUCGGGAAUUACUUGGGCGUAAAAGCGUACGCAGGCGGUUUGUUAANCAAGAUGUUAAAAAGCCCCGGGGNUCACCUGGGGAACAGCAUUUUGAACUGGCAAACUAAGAGUCUUUGUA